AAAAAAAAAGUAGUGUUUACAACUAAUUAAUCACAACCAGUUACAGAUUUCUUUGUUCCUUCUCUUUUCCUACUGCUUCAUUUGACUAAUUUUAA
ensembl:misc_RNA Y_RNA Y RNA